AUGCAAUUCUUCUGAUGAGCCCAGUGGGUACGUGCCUGAAACUUUUGAGAAUAGAGGCAUGUUGAUAGAUUUGUCAGUCAGUCAGUCAGUCAACAUCAGUUUAUAGAGAAUGACAGAGAGAGAUGCACGUUCAGUUCUAGGUUACCAGCAAAUAGAUUUGACCGUUGGAGUGUUUCUUGCUCUUUUGGUGCUGUACGUCUUCCUUGCUGUACUUGUCUAUCGUCCAAGAAACUAUUACAAACAGCAAUCAAUUUACAUUAAUUUACAAGAGACAGAUGAUCAAAGCAACCCAGCUUCUGUAUACAAUACACUGUGAUCUAUGCGUAUGUUAAGUCCUGUUCUAGUUGGCUCCUUCAUUGGAAUUAUGACUUAUACCAUUAAUCUCUGCAGGCCCGUAGCAAAUGGGAGGUUGGGAGGGGGUCGGUCGACCCCCCACCAAUGGUGACUUUUUUCUUCAAUAUUCGUCACCACAAAAUUGCAGCGCCCUCGUGUGAGGCACUUCGUGUCUCACCAUAAGCCUAAACGAUCCCUUACUCUCAAAAUACUGCCUAUGGGCCUGGUAUGUGUGUGUGUGUGUGUAAACAAAAAAGUAGUGGAAUUAUUAACUCGUUACUUAAAAAUUCUGUUUUAAUGAUUGAUUAAAUGACAGAAGAGAUCACCUGCACAGGACUACCAGCAUUUGAUCCUCAUGAGACAAUAUUAAAUUUGAUAUGGAAAUUAAAAUUAAGUUGGUUAUAAAUGUAAUUUAGGAGAUCUCGGUGUUGAACCAUCACACUAGUAAUUGUAGGCAAUGUUUUUCAUUAUUAUAAGGAAUUCCAUGGAAUUAAAUGUCUUGCUUCCUUA